UGGGGAAUAUUGGACAAUGGGGGCAACCCUGAUCCAGCCAUGCCGCGUGCGUGAAGAAGGCCUUCGGGUUGUAAAGCGCUUUCAGCGGGGAAGAUAAUGACGGUACCCGCAGAAGAAGCACCGGCUAACUCCGUGCCAGCAGCCGCGGUAAUACGGAGGGAGCUAGCGUUGUUCGGAAUUACUGGGCGUAAAGCGCGCGUAGGUGGCUUUGUAAGUCAGAGGUGAAAUCCCGGGGCUCAACCCCGGAACUGCCUUUGAAACUACAUCGCUAGAGUCUUGGAGAGGUUAGUGGAAUUCCGAGUGUAGAGGUGAAAUUCGUAGAUAUUCGGAAGAACACCAGUGGCGAAGGCGACUAACUGGACAAGUACUGACACUGAGGUGCGAAAGCGUGGGGAGCAAACAGGAUUAGAUACCCCCGUAGUCC
rnacentral:rRNA from 1 species